UCAGUCGCUUUAUUGCAAGCUGUUUGUUAUUUGGAAGCUGUGGACGUUCUCUGAAAGGUAAUGGCAUUUCCAAAUGACCUUCCUCAUUGACGUUUAUUUUUCCAUUCAGGAUCUGCAAAAACUGAAUGUCCUCUUGUGAUAUAGUUCCUUCUUUAGGAUUUGUGUCCAGAAAAUCUUUCUCCAAUGCUCUAAUCACAGAGGAGGGAGUGAUGAACGGCAGUUCUUUAACAGAAAUACGAUGGCACGCUCCGGUCACCUCCACUGAACUUGUCCAAGGCUUAAUGGAUCCUGCUAUACUCCAACCUAAGUCUGUUUUAAUGGCAUAAGGAUCAUAAUCAUUGCCUGGGAUCACUUUUCUUGGUUUAAGAGCUCUUGCACAAUCGUAUCCAAUUAGAAGUGCUGCAGGACAAUCUAACAAUUCUGGCAUUUCUUUUGAGAUAUUCUGAAGAUGUGCCCACAGUUUUGUUGUUUCACGAGUCGGAAUACUGUUUUGUUCAAGGGGAAUGUAAUCUCGAGUAUAUGUGGUUGGUAAGUCAAUGUAUUCUUGUGAAAAGUAACCUCUUACUUUCAGCCCAUCCACUCUUUGACUCUGUACAACUGAUCCCCUAUCUGUCAUUGUUGUCAAUUUCAGCUUAACUGGCUCUGUAACUGCUUGGAUUUUUUCACAAAUAUCUUGGACAAUGAAGGUAUUGCUACUUUGUGUAUCUAGCAGUGCAUAAACCAAGAUCUCGUGUCCAUUAUUACUUGCGCCAGAUAACCAUACGGGAACAAUCAUUGACGUACGGUCAAUAUUGUCAAUUUUUACAUUAUUUGACACUGCAGAAACAUUUUCUUCUUCUGGUGGCCUUUCAGGUUUGUCCACUUGUUGACGAUCUUCAUGAAGUGGAGUAGGAUGAUUUUUUCGACAAAUAUUACAGGAAGCCUUUUGACGACAAUUUUUGGCAAUGUGACCAACUCUUAGGCAACUAAAGCACAUAUUAUUCUCAAUGACGAACCUUUUCCUUUCCGCAAGAGACAUUUCAGCAAAUUUUUCACACUUGUAGAUAAAGUGGCUUUGCUUACAGCAGAUGCAUUCAAAUUUUCGUUUGUUUAGUCCAGUAGAAGGGAUAACACUGGGUUCUUCGUUACGCUGAGCUGUGCUUGUAGUCUUCGUACUUUUGACCGCUUUUGUCGUAGUAGUUAGAACACUUGCCUUUAUACGCUUCUGUUCUUUGUCUGGUUUGUCGAAUGUUCGCAAUGCAAACAGGGACGAAACGGGAUUGCAUGCUAUGCGUGCUUCUUCAGCCACAAACUCAGCAAAUUCUACAAAACUUGGAUAUUCUUUUUUUUCAUCUAGUCUUUUUGUUACAUAUCUAUUCCAACGUGUUGUUGCCCAGUCUGGUAGCUUGAGAAGUAUUUUUUGAUUUUCCUCACAAUCAUCUAAUACCUUAAGGCCUUGUACAUGGGGCAUAGCAUUUUUACAUGAAAUGAGGAAAUCACUAAACUCUCGCAAUUUGAGAGACUCUUUUGACCCAAUUUUUGGCCAACUGCUCAAUUUUCCUCUGAAGGCUCUCUGGACAACAAAAGGAUGGCCAUAACGUUUAUUCAAGGCAUCCCAAGCUUGAUGGUAGGCUUCUUCAUCGCUUCGGUAAAAUGUCCCCUCUAGCACAGUAAGUGCUUCUCCACUUAGGUAUUUUUUCAAAUAGAACAGUCUGUGUGCUGGAUUAAUACAGCUAGUUUCUAUGAGAGCUUUAAAGCAGGUGUUCCAUUCGAUGAACUUCAACGGAUCUCCACUGAAUAUGAAUGGCUCUGGGGCUGGUAGUCUAGUCAUAGUAAGCGAUUCUUUUAACGCUUGAACUAGCGCUACUUCACUGUUCCUUAGCACCGUAUUGCUAUCAUGAAUUUGUGGGACCGACACAUUUUGGGAAAUCGGUGUAAUUUUUACAUCAGGUAAGGUUGCUAGCGCUGGAUCAUGAAGAACUUGUGGGCGCGGGACAAUGUUCUGUUGUAUUGAAGGCUGACUAGAAGUGACUUUUAUUUCACUAGCAUUUAUUUCAGCAUUCAUCUUUGAUUCCUCUUCAACAUAUGCAUUGUAUUCUGCCUCUAUUGCCUCAAGAUCUCUUCGGUUUUCCAACAUUUUCAACCUUUCCUGCUGAGCUAGUAUCUCCUGCCUUUGCACGGAGAUUUCCCUUUCUCUUAUUAUUUCUGCUCGUUUUGAAGCUAAACGUGCUGCUGCUUCGGCUUUUUUGGCAGACAAUUGACUUUCAUGCUCACUAGAACUUUUGUACCGACUUUCAAGUCUUGACACUGUUGAGCCGAAUAUUGACUUUGCAUCUUCUCUUUGCAAUAGCUGGGCUAGUGACUCUUUUGUAGCUUGUGCAUCAAAUUCUUUGUCAACAUCUGCAUAACGCCUUUUUAGAAGCAUUAUUAUUUCUGUGGAGACUGAGCUACAACUGUCCAUUUUUCUCCUUAUGUCUUGAGAUGGUGUGAUCAGUGUUCGUAAAGCAAAAUACUUUUGUCCUACAUCUGACUCACAUUUUGCAACCCUUUGAAUCAUAUCACUUAACUCAAACUUAGAGCAUGCCACCUUCAGUUUGGAUCUUGUUAAUUGAACCUCGGCUUUAAAUUGCAAAUAGGUUGACAUAAAAUGUCUUUCUUUACUUGUUAUGUCAUCUUUUUUCCAUUCUAACAUUUUGUCAGUUAGAUGUUUUUCUCUCUCUGAACGCCUAACUCCUGUUUCAACUUCAAAUGCAGGUAGCAUUGGAUGUUGACCAAAAUUUUGUAUUUCAAGGUCUGCAUGGAUUUCACUUAAACGUAUUUCAAUCUCUGACCUGGUUUCCAUGAGAAGCUUGUGCUUAUUGAAGACUUGUGUUGAUGAGAUGAAUUGUAAUCCGCUAUAUUUCCAUUGGUAAAGAUGCUGAAAGUUGGAAAUCCAGCUGCUGUCGAUCCAUGAAAAUGAAGAUGUCGAUGCAGGCUUCGAUCUCACGUAGCACCGUCACGCCGAAGUCGCGUUAAUCCCUCGCCGCUCGAUCGCCCUCCUUCGUCGGCUGCAAUCCCUCUCUCACCGGUAGCGACAGGCCUCCUCCGUCGGGAAGUCGCGGGAUGUAUGCUUCAUCAACGGCGCAUGAGCCACCGUCUUCUUCACCAAAGGGACCAGUUUCUCCACUAUGGCCAGCGGGACCGCUUCGCCACAACGGUCGCGUCUUCUUGGCCACAACGGUCUUCACUUGGCUGCGACGUUUUACACUGGGCCACGUUCCUCACUUGGCCAACACGUAUUUUUCACUUGGCCACGAUGGACAAGUCUUUUAUUUGGCCCUAACAGGACACGUUUUUCACUGUAACGGCUCUCAAACUAUUUGAGUGGAACAGAAAAUGGCCACGAAUCGACUGAUGUAUUUCGCCAGACUUUAUUUCCUCCUUUUGCUGUGCGAGCAACACCGUGAAAAACUAAAAGAGCAUACAAAAAAUAUCAAUAAACAUACAUAAAAUAAAAUACAACAUCCAUUACAAUAAAAUACAAUCAUACCGUGUGCGCCUUCUGUCCAAACAUAAGAGAGCUGUUAAAUUUCUUCGUGAGUCUGUAUUCUCUCGUUAGCGUCCUCCAUCUUUUCUUUUCUUUCUGUCCGUGAGUUCGCGCUCUUUCUCUCUUCUCGCGGUACACGCAAAACAACGCGUGAACUUUAUGUAUUCACAUUAACAUAUUUCACCAUAAGAUGGCAGUAUUGCGACACAGGUAGAAAACAAAAACAAUGUGGAUGCAAAACACUCAAUAAAUUCCAACUCCUUGUAUUGCGACAGCUACACAUCUUUUUAUUUGAACUUUUUGAUGGAAGAACAUAAUCCAACAAUUCACAGCCAGAACAAAAGUUUGUUGUAAAACUUGUUCCCUUUUUCAUGGUCCAUUUGGUAUGUGAGAUAAAAAAUGAAUAAAAUAAUAAUUGUAAUUAGAUAGUUUUUGCAAAAAUUCAUGAAAAAACAGAAUUGUGCUUGGAAAAAAAAAUACAAAAAAAAAAACGUACAUAUAUUGAAAAACAGAAACGGAAAAAACAAAACAUCAACAUUAUUAUUAUUUUUUUUACCUGUCCGGCUGUUUGACAUCGAGAAUGGAAGUCUAAGGCUACGUUCAUACUACAGGUCUUAAUGCACGAAUCCAAUUUUUUCGUGUUUUUCCGACUCGAGUGAGGCAUUAAUUUGACGGUCUGAACGUGACAAGUCGCAUAGAACGGGACCAUUUCAAAUCCGAUCUGGGUCACUUUCGUAUGUGGUCUAAAUCCGAUCUGGGCCACAUUUUUCCAGACUGUCGCGGCGGUCUGUACUGUCCAGUCCCGCAAAUCGGAUUUCAUGCAGCAAUUACGUCAUCAAAUAGCGAGAGAGUCGUUACCGUAGCGAUGCACCUGUGCGUUAUUAGCGCCUAGCUUGCAGUGAACACGGCUUUCGGGGAAGGGCUGGGCUUCACAACAGUCAUAAAAAAUAAAAAUGGGUUGAGGAUAAGCCUGAGAAUGCUCAGUUUUCUCUGUUACAAGUGAGCAAUAUUUCAACAUUGCUUACACGGCCGAGAGAGAGUCGGGGCAAACUGCCCAUAUGUGUGUGACGUGCACGGACAGUGCGUGCAUGCUAUCGAUCCAUAUAAACUUUGAAUAUAAACCUAAACGGGGAUUAUUUAUGUCUGUUAUUUGUGUCCUCCUUUUGAAAAGCAAAACAUGAUAUCCCUGGAAUGACGGAUGACGUGUGUCAUUUGUUUUGAUGCUUCUGCGCAUGCGGGUCUUCUUGUUUAGCGCGGGUCGGACUGCGAAUUCGUGCGCAUGCGUAAUACUUGAACGGUCUCAAUGGAUAAAAGCAGUUUGAACGGGCACGCCAAAAAAACGGAUAUGACAAAAAAUCGGGUUCGUGCAUUAAGACCUGUAGUAUGAACGUAGCCUAAGUGUCCAGUAGGGAAUGGGACGUACUACGUCAUUGUUUGGACCCGCCUCCAUGCUGGCAAUAUAAUUCACUUCCGGGCCGGCAGAGUCAAUGCGGAUUGUAACGUGUGAUAGUGCUAAGCUAACUCUUUCGGUGUUUUAGAAAGAAAAUAUGGGUGCUUUAUUGUUGCAUUACCGGGUGCAACAGCGUCUCCUACGACAAAAAAAGGGGUGAGGAAAAAUGGACUCACUUUUCACCGUUUUCCUGCAUGGAGGACCAAAUAUCAGAUCACGAAGGUACGACGGAUGGCUGGAUUGCAGCGGUUCGUCGGAAAAGCAUUUCUUAUGAUCAUAUUUCUGCUGGAAUGAGAGUGUGUUCCUGUCAUCUCUACUCUUGUAAACCUGCUGACAACACAUCCCGAUUGGUCACCAUCUCUCUUCUUGGAUCAUUUGACAAAGAAAAUUUGUUCAAUGGAGUGGUUCCAUUUGUCCUGUGUCGGACUCAAACAAGCCCCUGCAGCAGACGCCAUCUGGGUCUGCCCUUCUCGUCGAUGAACUGCGGGCUUUUAACUUGUGAAAAUGCAAGAACUUUAAUGCACAUAUUUAUUCUGCCUGGCUAUUUAACUAUGGCCAGUGACGUUUUUUUUUUUUUUUUUUUUUUUUUAACCACUUUGACAAA